rnacentral:rRNA from 1 species
GACGAACGCUGGCGGCGUGCUUAAUACAUGCAAGUCGAACGGAAAGGCCCUGCUUUUGCGGGGCGCUCGAGUGGCGAACGGGUGAGUAACACGCGUGUAACCUGUCCUUGACUUUGGGAUAACUUCAGGAAACUGGGGCUAAUACCGGAUAGGAGCUCCUGCUGCAUGGUGGGGGUUGGAAAGUUUCGGCGGUUCGGGAUGGACUCGCGGCUUAUCAGCUUGUUGGUGGGGUAGUGGCUUACCAAGGCUUUGACGGGUAGCCGGCCUGAGAGGGUGACCGGCCACAUUGGGACUGAGAUACGGCCCAGACUCCUACGGGAGGCAGCAGUGGGGAAUAUUGCGCAAUGGGCGGAAGCCUGAUGCAGCAACGCCGCGUGCGGGAUGACGGCCUUCGGGUUGUAAACCGCUUUCGCCUGUGACGAAGCGUGAGUGACGGUAAUGGGUAAAGAAGCACCGGCUAACUACGUG